AACGAACGCUGGCGGCAGGCUUAACACAUGCAAGUCGAACGGCUGUAGCAAUACAGCAGUGGCAGACGGGUGAGUAACACGUGGGAACCUUCCUAGGGGUACGGAACAACUCAGGGAAACUUGAGCUAAAUACCGUAUACGUCCGUAAGGAGAAAGAUUCAUCGCCCCUAGACGGGCCCGCGUCGGAUUAGGUAGUUGGUGGGGUAACGGCCUACCAAGCCUGCGAUCCGUAGCUGAUCUGAGAGGAUGAUCAGCCACACUGGGACUGAGACACGGCCCAGACUCCUACGGGAGGCAGCAGUGGGGAAUCUUGGACAAUGGGCGCAAGCCUGAUCCAGCCAUGCCGCGUGAGU
rnacentral:rRNA from 1 species